UACAGAGGCCUCAAGCGUUAGGCGGAAUCACUGGGCUUAAAGCGUGUGUAGGCGGACUUCUAAGUACCUUGUGAAAUCCCACGGCUUAACUGUGGAACUGCUUGGUAUACUGGUUGUCUUGAGCCACUCAGGGGCGAGCGGAACAAAUGGUGGAGCGGUGAAAUGCGUAGAUAUCGGGAGGAACACCAGAGGCGAAGGCGGGCUACUGGGCUGAUACUGACGCUGAUGCGCGAAAGCCAGGGGAGCAAACGGG
rnacentral:rRNA from 1 species